AACGCACAUUGCGCCCUUUGGCAUUCCGAAGGGCAUGCCUGUUCGAGCGUCAUUAUCACCCCUCAAGCCUGGCUUGCAGUUGGACUCUAGGUAAGGCUUCAAGGCCUAGCCAGUCCUAAAGAUAACGACGGCGCCUGUGAAUGACCCCAGUACACUGAGCUCUUAGUAGCACGUACUCGGCGGGAGUUGCAGCCCAGUCCAGCCUUUUUAUUAUUCCAAGGUUGACCUCGGAUCAGGUAGGGAUACCCGCUGAACUUAA
rnacentral:misc_RNA from 1 species